CUGCUAACCUACUGUCCUUGCAGAAGUGGCAACUUUUGAGCGCCCGAAACCUACAUCUGGGCGUCCGAAACCCCCAAGCCAUACAAAGCCUCCACUUCGGUUCCUCCGCCUGCGGUCUGCUGCGCCCGAAACCUCGUCCGACAGAUCUCACCUACCACUAGACACAUGUCAGCGCAAACGAUAUUCCCAAGGUGAAUUUUCGGACCCAUAUCUGGGCACCCGGAACCUAGGAUCCGAAUUGCCUUCCAGUUUCAGUUCAAACAAGCACUCAAGUUCUGGGCGACCCAGACCCAGUUCUGGGCGACCCAGACCCAGUUCUGGGCGCCCGAAACUGACAAAACUCCAGUUUUGCUUAUUUGAGUACGCUAAGUCAAUUUCUACAUCCAUUUUGUGCAGAAACGACUCCGACUCAGUUCGACACACUCUAGAUGUAUCGACCAGUCACUAAUACUGUAGCCAAUCCAAUCCAAAACCCCGGAACACUACACUCACUUUAGUACCCUGUGGUUUAAAGUGUAUCAAUUUAGUACUUUAUGAUUUUAUUUUUCUCUUUUCAUUGGCUCCUCUGUUAAUAUUUCAUUAAAUUAUAUACAAAAAACUUCAGAUAUCCUAUCUAGAUUUAUCAAAUAUUUACUUUAGUAUCCUUUAGUUUUAACUUUGUCAAUGAUUUGACGAAAAAAAUUAAUAAAAUGAAUAAUAAAAAGAGAGAAAUGAAACCACAAAGUACUAACUUAAUAAUAAUACACUUUAAAGCACAUGGUACUCAAGUGAGUAUGUGCGAAAUGACAGAUGUUAACUUAAUACACUUUAAAUCAUACGGUACUAAAGUGAGAAAGUGUGAAAGGUAUUUGAAGUUUGCCCCAAACUUUUGUGGUUACAAACACAC
rnacentral:lncRNA from 1 species